rnacentral:rRNA from 1 species
GACCGGAUGCCGAUCUCGAAAACCUGUCCCAGUUCGGACUGGAGUCUGCAACCCGACUCCACGAAGUUGGAUUCGCUAGUAAUCGCGCAUCAGCCAUGGCGCGGUGAAUACGUUCCCGGGCCUUGUACACACCGCCCGUCAAGCCAUGGGAGUUGGAAAUGCCCGAAGUCAGUGGCCCAACCGUAAGGAGGGAGCUGCCGAAGGCAGGUCCGGUAACCGGGGUGAAGUCGUAACAAGGUAAC